rnacentral:rRNA from 1 species
AUCAAGGCUUGCUGCUUGGGAGCGGGGAAUUCCUAUCAGGUAGUUGGUAGGAUGGCUUACCAAGCCGAAACGGGUAGCGGGUGUGAGAGCACGGCCGCGCAUCGAGACUGAGACACUGCUCGGACUCCUACGGAGGCUGAGUAACGAAUCUUCCGAAUGCGCGAAACGUGACGGGGCAAUGCGCGUGUAGAUGAAGCCCUUCGGGGUGUAAACAAUGUCAGUGUAGAACUCAAUGACCAUACCCAAAGGAAGCACCGGCUAACUCUGCGCCAGCAGCCGCGGUAAUACAGAGGGUGCGAGCGUUAAUCGGAAUCACUGGGCUUAAAGCGUUCGUAGGCGGAUCUGAAGGCGCUUUGUGAAAGCCCCCGGCUCAACCGGGGAACUGCUUGGCGAACCGCAGAUCUUGAGUCAAGUAGGGGCGGUCGGAACGAUAGGUGGAGCGGUGAAAUGCGUAGACAUCUAUCGGAACGCCGAAGGUGAAGACAGGCCGCUGGGCUUGUACUGACGCUGAGGAACGAAAGCGUGGGGAGCAAACGGGAUUAGAUACCCCGGUAGUCCACGCCGUAAACGAUGCGCACUAGGUCGGGGAGGCUUGACGCCCUCCUGGCCGAAGCAAAAGUGUUUAGUGCGCCGCCUGGGGAGUACGG